rnacentral:rRNA from 1 species
CUACGGAGGAUGCGAGCGUUAUCCGGAUUUAUUGGGUUUAAAGGGAGCGUAGGUGGGAUAUUAAGUCAGCGGUUAAAUCGUGGGGCUCAACCCCAUUCUGCCGUUGAUACUGGGUGGCUUGAUUGCGGUCGAGGUUGGCGGAAUUCGUUGUGUAGCGGUGAAAUGCAUAGAUAUGACGAAGAACACCGAUUGCGUAGGCAGCUGACCAGACCGCAAAUGACGCUCAUGCACGAAAGUGCGGGGAUCGAACAGGAUUAGAUACCCUGGUAGUCCGCACAGUAAACGAUGAAUACUUGUUUUCGGCGAUAUAAUGUCGGAGGCAAAGCGAAAGCGAUAAGUAUUCCACCUGGGGAGUACGCCGGCAACGGUGAAACUCAAAUGAAUUGACGGGG